GGUCCUGUCGCUUAACAGGUUAAAGCACCGGCCUCAUAAGCCGGCAGAUGCAGGUUCGAAUCCCGCCGGGACCACCA
rnacentral:tRNA from 1 species